UACGUAGGAAGCGAGCGUUGUUCGGAGUUACUGGGCGUAAAGGGUGUGUAGGCGGUUCUUUAAGUUUGGUGUGAAAUCUCCCGGCUCAACCGGGAGGGUGCGCCGAAUACUGAGGGACUAGAGUGUGGGAGAGGAAAGUGGAAUUCCUGGUGUAGCGGUGAAAUGCGUAGAUAUCAGGAGGAACACCGGUGGUGUAGACGGCUUUCUGGACCAUAACUGACGCUGAGACACGAAAGCGUGGGUAGCAAACAG
rnacentral:rRNA from 1 species